UACGUAGGGGGCAAGCGUUGUCCGGAUUUACUGGGCGUAAAGCGCGUGUAGGCGGGUCGUUAAGUUGGGGGUGAAAUCCCGAGGCUCAACCUCGGAACUGCCUUCAAAACUGGCGACCUGGACUCAAGUAGAGGCAAGUGGAAUUGCGAGUGUAGAGGUGAAAUUCGUAGAUAUUCGCAGGAACACCAGUGGCGAAGGCGACUUGCUGGACUUGUAGUGACGCUGAGACGCGAAAGCGUGGGGAGCAAACAGG
rnacentral:rRNA from 1 species